rnacentral:rRNA from 1 species
AGCAGCCGCGGUAAUUCCAGCUCCAAUAGCGUAUAUUAAAGUUGUUGCAGUUAAAAAGCUCGUAGUUGAAUUUCGGGAUCAAUCUAUCGGUCGUGCAAUAGUACGUACUGAUUUUAUUGAUUCCUCCCUUCUGAUGAACUAUGAUGUCAUUAAUUUGGUGUCAUAGGGAAUCAGGACUGUUACUUUGAAAAAAUUAGAGUGUUUAAAGCAGGCUCACGCUUGAAUACAUUAGCAUGGAAUAACGAAAUAGGACGUUUGAUUCUAUUUUGUUGGUUUCUAGGAUCGACGUAAUGAUUAAUAGGGAUAGUUGGGGGCAUUAGUAUUCAAUUGUCAGAGGUGAAAUUCUUGGAUUUAUUGAAGACUAACUACUGCGAAAGCAUUUGCCAAGGAUGUUUUCAUUAAUCAAGAACGAAAGUUAGGGGAUCGAAGACGAUCAGAUACCGUCGUAGUCUUAACCAUAAACUAUGCCGACUAGGGAUCGGAUGAUGUUAAUUUUUAAUGACUCU